ACCGAAAUAAAAGCUGAAUUUGUGUUGUUAUAUUUUCAGUAAGUGACUCUUGUUUCAAAGGAAAUGCAGAGGACAAAAGUGGAUCGAACCUAUGCCAUCUUAUAGAUCAAGAUCAAUUAAUUGCUGGAAAUGUUUCAGUUAAAGACAUUGUACCUGAUGACAUUGAAAAAAUCAAG